rnacentral:rRNA from 1 species
GACGAACGCUGGCGGCGUGCUUAACACAUGCAAGUCGAACGAUGACGACCGAGCUUGCUCGGUCUGAUUAGUGGCGAACGGGUGAGUAACACGUGAGCAACCUGCCCUUCACUCUGGGAUAACCUCGGGACAUCGGGGCUAAUACCGGAUAUGAGCUCCUGUCGCAUGGCGGGUGUUGGAAAGUUUUUCGGUGUAGGAUGGGCUCGCGGCCUAUCAGUUUGUUGGUGGGGUAGUGGCUCACCAAGGCGAUGACGGGUAGCCGGCCUGAGCGGGGGACCGGCCACACUGGGACUGAGACAAGGCCCAGACUCCUACGGGAGGCAGGAGUGGAGAAUAUUGCACAGUGGGCGAAAGCCUGAUGCAGCGACGCCGCGUGGGGGAUGACGGCCUUCGGGUUGUAAACCUCUUUCAGCAGGGAAGAAGCGAAAGUGACGGUACCUGCAGAAGAAGCGCCGGCUAACUACGUG